rnacentral:tRNA from 1 species
GGCCGCGUGGCCUAAUGGCUAAGGCGCUAGAUUUCGGUUCACCGAUUUCACCUUCUCUAGAGAUUCCAGGUUCGAAUCCUGGCGUGGUCG